rnacentral:lncRNA from 1 species
AUUUAAGUAUGUGACAACCUUGUUUUCCUUCUUUCAUCUUUCAAAAAAAAUUGUUUUUUGUUAGGAAAUGUCAGUGGUGAAUUUGAAUUCUACAUGCCUUUGAACAAGGCUACUGAAAUGACAAAGAAGAAGAAAAAGAGGAUGAUCUGGCCCAAAGGACAGAAGAGGAGUCUUCUCAUCUCUGUGGGAAGAGCAACUCAUCAUGAAAUGACUGAUAAAACAUAUUCAAAAAUGGAAGAGAGCAAAAUGAAUGGAUGGAUACUGGCGGCAUCAUUGGGACUUCAUGGAAGGUUUUGGUUUAGUUUCCUAGUGUCUGGUAUGGACAAUUACCUUCCCUCACUCCUUACCCCUCAUAACUUUAGUCUUAUUCUAGUGUCUACUAAUGACAUCAGCUCUUUGGAGGGACUUUGAGAGUCCACCUCGCACUUAAGAAAGUCAGGUAGAAAAAUGCCUCUUUCUUUUUCCAGGCAAGCCUAGGUAUAAUCGUGUACUUUGUUGUCAGUAGGAAUCAUCCUUGGAGGUCUACUUCAAUCCAAGGAAUAAAACAUUUCCCUUGCACGAUGAAAUUGAAAAA